CUAAUGUAGCUAAUUCUCUAACGUUGUUUUAGUUGGCAGUCGUGCGGCAUAAUGCAAGAAAUGGUCCGUCUGGAGCAAAAAUGCCAGCACAUGUAACAAAGCGAAGGCGUCGAAAUACUAUCUGUUGUAGCAAAUGCAUGCGUAUCGUUUGGGGCAUGUCUCGCUGCCGCCCGGAUUCGCAGGACCAACUCGAAACAUGUGCAUCCGCUUUCCGACAUUUGAGUUUUGGUGCUUCCAGAACGAUGGGCAUUGGCGAUCGUGAACAGCUCCUGGCAGCUGCACUACUGGCACGGAAUGAUAUGGUUGUGCUUGUCUCAAUGUGGAUUUGCCACCAUUGGUGGUACUGUGGGUGCCAUAAGGCUUAUGAAAAGGUGUACCCAAGUGAUGAGAACGAGAGAUUUCUUUGCUCUUGAUACUGGGUAGAGCAGUGCUGGUGAGCCUGUGAAGUUGUUGGAAAUCAGUUACAGGACAUUUUUGGCUGGACUGUGAAAUACUACUUUGAGAAACUGGCUUGGGUCAAAUUUGGAGUUCAGGAAACUUUGCAGUUCAUGUCAGUUAUUGGCAUCUAAACAGAAGACUUUUCACUCAUUUGAUGGUUUGCCUAAUUGUCAGUCUGAGGAUGUGUAGUAAGAAAGUUUCGUUGAAUUACACUGGCAGUCAAAACUACAGUGUGGUGUGGUGAGUGCUGUUCCAGUGCUGUUUAAGACAGUGUCACAGGCAAGAUGUGUAAUAUGCUGUGUGGAAAGGCAAACUAAUACACUUUAAGAAGAAACCCAUAUCCUGAAACACAUGGCCUUGGUGCUGGUCAGUAAGUGUCUGGGAACAAUUUUUUUUGGCAGUUUGUACAGAUCUGUUCUGGUGUCUGAAUGUGGGAGGUAUGCAACCCUUUCAGCCACCUGUGUACUGUGGCCUGAGCCUAAUAACAUUCCUGUGCAUGAACUAAAUUCCUUCUUACAGUCUUCGUGUGCAUCCUAUUGUGGACAUUACGUGGUCUGCCAGUGCAGUUGUGUUGACAGCAGUGUGACAGCUAUCAGUACACAGCUGUGGAAAUGGUACACAGUGCUUUCCUCAAGCAAAAUGGAUUCCAGUGGGAGAGCUAAUGCAAGUUUAUAUGUGGAAUAUUUUCCAAAUAAUGGUCCCCACAUCACUGCAUGUUUGAAGCUAUACACACAUCUGAGUUGCACACAGGUAUUUUCUGCCAUAGGGGGAUACAAUGUACAGUACCUGGUACUUACAAAUGCUAUCCUCUGGCUACCAUUUCUUGUGGUAGCUGCCAAAACAUGAGAGGGUCAUUCAUACUUGACUAGCAGCAAGUUACAGUGGUUUGAUUUGUGGAUGAAUGCACAUUUACUAGACACAUUGUCAACUUUUGGAAGAUCAUAAUCUUUGUGCAAGGUUGGUAUUCACAGCUGGCCUGAGAUGUCUUAUCACAUUGGACCAUUUCUUCCACCAGACUAAUGGGACUUAUCUAUUUCAUAUUUAUUAAAGGUAUUUUGUUUAUCCUGUAGGAUGUAGCACCAGUAAACGUUGCUGCAAUAUGACUGAACUAAAGCACAGUUCAGUCGAUGUGCAGAAUGACAUCAGUGUCAUGUAUCCCAAUCCAGUCAGUGGGUUGUUAGAGGUGGACCAGUUCAGUUACCGUACUUGAUGCCUCCAUUUUCUGUUGGGUAACAUGAAGUGUAUGGCACACCUGUAACAUAAUUGGAUGUUGUUGUAGUCCUCAGAAAUAGAAGUACUAGCUGCACAUACUGGCUCACGUAUGUAAGGUUCAGCACUGCUGAAGUA